rnacentral:rRNA from 1 species
GUUUUGACUUUUAUAGCGUAGUAGAUCCACUCCGAUCCAUCCCGAACUCGGUUGUUAAAUGCUACAGCGGCGAUAAUACUAAGAAGGAAGCUUCUUGGGAAGGUAGCUCAAUGUCAAGACUUAAUUUAAUUAACUUUUAUA